UACAGAGGUGGCAAGCGUUGUUCGGAAUUACUGGGCGUAAAGGGCGCGUAGGCGGCCAUCUAAGUCAGACGUGAAAUCCCCAGGCUCAACCUGGGAACUGCGUCCGAUACUGGCAGGCUUGAAUCCGGGAGAGGGAUGUGGAAUUCCAGGUGUAGCGGUGAAAUGCGUAGAUAUCUGGAGGAAUACCGGUGGCGAAGGCGGCAUCCUGGACCAUUACUGACGCUUAAGCGCGAAAGCUAGGGGAGCAAACGGG
rnacentral:rRNA from 1 species